CAACCGUCGCCCACUUACCAGAACACCAAAAGAAAGGUAAAAAAUAAAACUCGAGACAAAGAAAAUCAAGAAAGAGAAACGGAUUCAUAUUUGUGAAAUCUGCGGAAUAUAUAUCCCCGAAAUCAUGAGCUUCAGGUGCAUAUGAGGCGUCACGAAAUGAGCGCAUCUACGAAUGCGAAAUUUGUGGUAAUUCGUUUCAUCUUAAAUGUGUAUUGACACGACAUAUACGCACACAUACUGGAGAGCGACCAUCGCGUGUCGAUAUUGCGAAUCGUAAAUUUGCUUCUCGUUCCUAGGAUUGAUCAUGAGAGGGUGCACCGAAAUGAACGGCCUUACAAUUGCGAUAUCUGUGGCAAAAAUUUCUCACGUAUUCAAGGGGUUUUAAAAGCGCAUAAUGCUAACACACACUGGAGAAAAACCAUUUAGUGCGGCAUUUGUGGUAAACGCUUUACACGGGGUCACCAUCUUCGGGCGCACCUGGAAACA